CGUAGGGUGCGAGCGUUGUCCGGAAUUACUGGGCGUAAAAGGGCUCGUAGGUGGUUUGUCGCGUCGUCUGUGAAAUUCCGGGGCUUAACUCCGGGCGUGCAGGCGAUACGGGCAUAAACUUGAGUACUGUAGGGUACUGGAAUUCCUGGUGUAGCGGUGAAAUAGCGCAGAUAUCAGGAGGAACACCGAUGGCGAAGGCAGGUUACUGGGCAGUUACUGACGCUGAGGAGCGAAAGCAUGGGUAGCGAACAGGAUU
rnacentral:rRNA from 1 species